rnacentral:lncRNA from 1 species
GGACGGGGUUUACCAGUGGUUGAUGUUGAGGACGGAGCCUGGCUCCCGUAGGAGUCCGGGCGGAGUCUGCUUGCGGUCGGAGUUGUCGGCGAAGUCUGGCUCCCGUAGGAGUCCGGACGAAGUCUGUCUGCAGCCGUUGGAGUCGAGGGCGAAGCCCGGCUCCCGUAGGAGCCGAUUCUGUCGAGGACUUUGGCUGUGGGUAUUUUAUACCCAACAGCUAUGUUGUAGCAAUGUCUGGCCAGGGCUUGGUCUCCCCUGACUUCUCCAACCCCCUGGUUGGUAGGGAAUUUUAAUUUCAAAUGGUAGGUUGACACUACGGC